rnacentral:rRNA from 1 species
AUUGAACGCUGGCGGAAUGCUUUACACAUGCAAGUCGAACGGCAGCACGGGGCAACCUGGUGGCGAGUGGCGAACGGGUGAGUAAUACAUCGGAACGUGCCCAAUCGUGGGGGAUAACGUAGCGAAAGUUACGCUAAUACCGCAUACGAUCUACGGAUGAAAGCGGGGGAUCGCAAGACCUCGCGCGAAUGGAGCGGCCGAUGUCAGAUUAGGUAGUUGGUGGGGUAAAGGCUCACCAAGCCAACGAUCUGUAGCUGGUCUGAGAGGACGACCAGGCACACUGGGACUGAGACACGGCCCAGACUCCUACGGGAGGCAGCAGUGGGGAAUUUUGGACAAUGGGCGCAAGCCUGAUCCAGCCAUUCCGCGUGCAGGAUGAAGGCCUUCGGGUUGUAAACUGCUUUUGUACGGAACGAAACGGUUCUCUCUAAUACAGGGGGCUAAUGACGGUACCGUAAGAAUAAGCACCGGCUAACUACGUGCCAGCCGCCGCGGUAAGAC